rnacentral:tRNA from 1 species
GCGAAAGUAGCUCAGCUGAUAGAGCAUCAGCCUUCCAAGCUGAGGGUCGCGGGUUUGAUCCCCGUCUUUCGCU